GAGAUGGAGUCUUGCUCUGUUGCCUAGAGCUGGAAUGCAAUAGUGCGAUCUCGGCUCACUGCAACCUCCGCCUCCUGGGUUCAAGCAAUUCUCCUGCCUUGCCUCCCGAGUAGCUGGGACUACAGGUGCCCGCCACCACACCCGGCUAAUUUUUUGUAUUUUUAGUAGAGACGGGGUUUCACCGUGUUAGCCAGGAUGGUCUUGAUCUCCUGACCUCAUGAUCCGCCUGCUUUGGCCUCCCAAAGUGCUGGGAUUACAGGCGUGAGUCACCGCGCCCGGCUCAUUUUAAAAUUUUUGUAGAUCAGUGUACUGUUGUAAAAAAAAAAAAAUAAGAAAAAUAAAAAAUAAAUUUUUGUAGUGAUAGGAUCCCACUGAGGCCAGAGAAUAGGGUCUGGAGACAAAGGAGCAUUCACUUCAGCCUCUGACUGGUGGCAGGCCAAGUCUUUAUUUACAUAGGGUGUAACCAAAUAGGAAACCUCUAAAGGGUACUUAAACCCCAGAUUUUCUACACAGGGCACUUGCUUGAGCCUCAUCCCGCUUUCUGGAAUGUACUUUUGCUUCAAUAAAUCUGUGCUUUUGUUCCU
rnacentral:lncRNA from 1 species